GGUAAUAGGAAGAGCUAUAGAGUUUGCAGAUGUCAACUGUGGCCUUAAAGAGCAUGUUGGUAGCAUCAAUGCCAGACAGAUGGCACAUGUGGCUGGUGGCUGCCAUAUUGACAGUGCCGUUCUGGAAGAUGGAGAGAACUAUGACACAAUAAGUUUAAUUAAAAGGUCCUAUUACUGCUGGAUUGUGCAAGAUAUUUAACCGUGUUUUCUUUGAGGUAUGACUUAAAUAUCAAACAUCUUAAAUAAGAAAAGGGAAACAUUUUAGUUUUGGAAGUCAGAAUGCCAAGGAGAAGGAAAAAUCUUGGGGGAAAUCCUUUUCGGAAGACCGCAAGCUCUAAGGAAGUUGUCGUAUCCAGUGUUGCUAGUCAUGAGGAGCCAACCACUACUCUUCCUUCCAUGUGUGAGACAAAAGUUGAUCAGGAAGAACUCUUCACCAGUAUCUCAGAGAUGUUUUCUGAUCUGGAUCCCGAUGUAGUGUAUUUGAUGCUUUCUGAAUGUGAUUUCAAAGUUGAAAAUGCAAUGGAUUGUCUAUUAGAAUUAUCUGCCUCUGAUGCCAAGGUAGAAGAAUCAUCUUCAAAAAGCUUCAUUGCUUCUGAGAGCCAAGUAAGUGCUGUGGGACGUGAAAUAAUGGAAAAGUAUCCUCCUGAAGAAGAGAGUGAAGAUUCAAAAAUGGAUUCAUUUUUGGACAUGCAGCUAACCGAAGACUUGGAUUCCUUAAUACAGAAUGCUUUUGAGAAAUUGAACUCUUCUGAUGACCAAGUAUACUCAUUUUUGCCUUUGCAAAGUGUUAAUAGUUUUAGUGACCCGAGUGCAUUUGUAAAUUCAGAUGCAAGUAGCAUGACUCCCAUUCUUUCUACAGAAAAUGUGGAUUUGAACAGUGAAAAUGUAGAGAAUUCUGCCUCUGCAUUAAGUUCAAACACCGUAACUUCACAUUCUGUUUCAGAUGAGUCCAAAAGUUUUAUAAAGGAUGACACAUUGGCAUUGGAAGAUUCUCUUCUCAGUGGUUCUUUAAAUGUAGCAAGUGACAGUAUGGUGGGUGGUAGCAAUCGUGGUCAAAGACCUAAAGAGCUUUUAGAAACUGAGUAUGUUGAGACUCCGUUCUCUCAAGCCCCUGUAGAUUUGGAUGACAGUGAACCUCAGGCUUUAAGCCUUACUGUGCAAAAUCUGGGGCUUGAUUUACUAGGUACAGGUGGGGAUCAGAAAUCUGCUUCUGUCCCUGAUAUGUUCCUACCUUCCGAAGAGUUCAAUUUCAAACCGCACAAACAUACUGAACUGCCGUCAAAGGGGAAAGAUGUGAAUUACUGCCCAGUACUUACCCCUCUCCCUCUACUGCUGCCUCCUCCUCCACCUCCACCAAUGUGGAAUCCAAUGAUUCCUGCUUUUGACCUCUUUCAAGGAAAUCAUGGCUUUGUAGCUCCUGUCGUAACCACCGCUACACACUGGAGACCUGUCAACUACACUUUUCCCCCUCCGGUUAUUUCGCACACUUCCCCGACAAAGGUAUGGAGAAAUAAAGAGGGAGCAAGUGCUUAUCAAGUACAAGAAACCCCAGUUUCUCAGGUUGUAAGAAAGAAGACAUCAUCUUAUGUUGGACUAGUUCUUGUUCUUCUCAGAGGGCUUCCAGGAUCAGGAAAGUCUUUUUUGGCAAGGACUUUGCAAGAGGAUAAUCCUAGUGGAGUCAUUCUUAGUACUGAUGAUUAUUUUUACAUAAAUGGACAGUACCAGUUUGAUGUAAAAUACUUAGGAGAAGCACAUGAAUGGAACCAGAAUCGUGCAAAAGAAGCAUUUGAGAAGAAGGUGUCUCCUAUAAUAAUAGACAAUACAAACCUACAGGCAUGGGAAAUGAAGCCAUAUGUUUCUUUGUCUCAAAAACAUAAAUAUAAAGUUCUUUUCCGGGAACCGGACACAUGGUGGAAGUUCAAACCAAAGGAACUUGCAAGGCGUAAUAUUCAUGGGGUAAGCAAAGAAAAAAUAACAAGAAUGUUGGAACACUAUCAGCGUUUUGUUUCAGUGCCAAUAAUCAUGAGUUCUUCAGUUCCAGAGAAAAUUGAACGUAUUGAGUUGUGUGCAUAUUCUUGUGAGGACAGAAGUACUAGCCCAAGAGACAAUGAAGAUAUUACCUCUGAAAAAGAAGAAAAUGUUUUAUCCUCAUCUUUGAAGCAUCUAGAGUUAACUGAAGUGAAGAAACUUGAAGGGACCAAAGAAACUAUAUUACCUGAGAAUGUUACAUAUCUGUCUAAUGCAGAUUUAAACAAAGGAAGAAGAGAAAUAAGUGGUAUGAAUCCUAACAUUCAGAGUGCUUUCAUUCAGGAAGUUUCAGACAUGUAUUUUUCUGAUUCUGAAAGCAAAGGACAAGCAACAGAAAAAAGUGAGAAAGAAGAGCAAGUAGAAAUGGCUUCUGAAAAAGAAUAUAGUAAAACUGAUGCUGAUAGUUUUGUAGAGAGAGUGUCACCAAGUAUUUGCUAUGGUGAAAAUAAUCAAGACUAUGAUCUUUCAAAUACUAUACCAUUUCAAAAUGAAAAAUCUUCACCUGGUGAAAUAUUGGAAGAAAGAGCCAUGGUAAAGAAAAAAGCCUUUGGAAAACCAAAAAGCAAAUCAACUUUGGAAAAGUUCCCAAGACAUGAGCUAUCAAAUUUUGUUGGUGAUUGGCCAGUUGAUAAGACUAUUGGUCAGAGGACAAAAAGGAACCGAAAAACUGAAAAAACUUCAUCUGUACAAAGUGACAAAAAGUAUAAUCGUCCUCAGACACGCAAAGUAUUAGAUAAUAGUCUAUCUGUGAAUAUUGAUCACAUCCAGCAGCGAGAAUCUCCACCUGAAAGUACAGAGGAGGACAAGAAAUCACAGUAUGAUGAUGCUUCAGAAUCUUUCAGUCACUCUCAGUUUGAUCUGUAUAAAAAUACUGAAAAACAAUCAUUCAGCAUUGUGGGUGACUGGCCUUCAUCUGAUUCUUUAGCUCAGAGAGAGCACAGAUCAAGAAUGCCAAAAGACAGCUUAAAGGAACCCAACCUAGAAUUUGGAACUAAUGACAGUUUGAAUGAAACAGCCUUCUACACAGCACAUGAGGCCUGUUGGGGCACAAGCCCUGAAGAACUAAAAACACUGGGUAGUUCCAGUUCUACUCUAGGAAGUUCUGAAUCGCUAUCCAGUGAAAUGGCCUGUGAGAAUAAAACUUGUCCAAGUAAAAAGAUUCAUAGACAAAACACAUUGUCUCUUACUUUUACCAAUAGUGGGCCAACUAUUCCUGGAGUAGUAGGACCACAAACUUUAGCAGAAUUUCCAGACGGAAAACUUAAGAAAGUCCCUGGAAUAGAAGAAGACAUGUGUACCCAGACUGAACCACAGGAUUUUGCUCUCUUAUGGAAAAUAGAAAAGAAUAAAAUUAGUCUUUCAGAUUCUGUGAGAGUAUUAACCGGACGAUUAGAUGGAUUUAAACCAAAAGCUUUCAAUAUUAACACAAAAUUAGACAUUCAGGAAACAAUUCCAUACAGGGUAAUGUAUGAUAAAAGCACAUAUGUUGAAGAAAGUGAGCUCACCAGUGCUGAUGAAUCUGAAAAUCUUAACAUUCUUUGUAAACUCUUUGGGUCCGUUUCAUUAGAAGCCCUAAAAGACUUAUAUGAGAGGUGUAACAGAGAUAUUAUUUGGGCUACAAGCCUUUUGUUGGACUCUGAAACUAAAUUAUGUGAGGAUACUGAAUUUGAGAAUAUCCAAAAAUCAUACGACGAAGCACAAAUUGGGCCGUUUUCUCUGGGAUUAAAUUUGAAGGAAAUUAUUAGCCAAAGAGGAACCUUGGAGGAUUCUAUUUCUUCUGUGCCAGAAUUUGGCCAUGGCACUGUCGUCAGUAACACUAAUGUGCAGUCUACCUGUGAUUCAGAAAAGGGAGACUCAGAGCAGGCAGAAAUAAGAGCUAUCACUACUGAAAAACCAGGAUUCAUAACAGAUUUAUUUCCUAAUGCCACUACAGAUCUAAAGAAUACUAAUGAAGUACUUCCUGGUAGUCAGGCAGAACUUCCAGGUUUAUAUAACAUUAAGCAGCCUUUUCCAGGGACUCUAAAAGCUACUACUGCUAAAGAUGUGAGGGACAUGGAGAAGAACCUAGAAGUCACAGAGAUUGGAGACAGUAUACAUUCUUCUUUGAAUUUGUCUGAUGUUUUAAACUCUGUAUCGAGCACUUCAAAUCUGGAGUUAAAUGAAGAAGUUGAUUUUACUGACUCGUUUGAAAUAAAGAAAAAUGAAAAUCUUCCUAAGACUUAUGUGAAAUUUCCAAACACUGAAGAAUUUAUGAAUGAAGAUGAACAGGAAAUGGAAAAAAUUCUAAUGGCUGAGAGUACUUUGUCAGCUGGAGUUAGUGAAGAAGAUAAAACGGAGAUGUUGAAUCCCAUGCCAAUGAUGGCCAAAUCUCUGACCAUAGACUGUUUGGAAUUGGCAUUACCUCCUGAGCUGGCUUUUCAGCUCAAUGAAUUAUUUGGCCCUGUUGGUAUUGAUUCAGGGUCUCUAACAGUUGAGGAUUGUGUGGUUCAUAUAGAUCUGAAUCUGGCUAAAGUGAUUCAUGAGAAAUGGAAAGAAUCUGUAAUGGAGCGACAAAGACAAGAAGAAGUAUCCUCUGGCAAGUUUAUGCGAGAUCCUUCCCUGGUUGGGAGUAUUGGUCUUGAUAAUCCUGAACAAAAGUCAUCUCAGAGAACAGGCAAAAAAUUACUGAAGACUUUAGCAGCACCUGAAAUGCUACCCUUAUUGGAUCAUUGGAACACUCAAACUAAAAAAGUGUCACUCAGAGAAAUAAUGUCAGAAGAAAUUGCCUUACAGGAAAAACAUGAUUUGAAAAGGGAGGCACUUAUGUUUGAAAAAGAUUGUGCCACUAAACUAAAGGAGAAGCAGCUUUUUAAGAUAUUUCCAGCUAUUAACCAAAAUUUUCUGGUGGACAUUUUCAAGGACCACAACUAUUCAUUAGAACACACAGUCCAGUUUCUAAACUGUGUUCUUGAAGGAGACCCUGUGAAAACAGUUGUAGCGCAAGAGUUUGUUCAUCAAAAUGAGAAUGUCACUUCUCAUGCUACACAGAAGUCUAAGGAGAAAAAGGCCAAGAAAUCAAAAGAGACUGAAGAUAUACCAAGUGAACCAUCUUUCCAGGAUUUUGAGUAUCCAGAGUAUAAUGACUACAGGGCAGAGGCUUUCCUUCAUCAGCAGAAGAGAAUGGAAUGCUACAGCAAAGCAAAAGAAGCUUAUCGGAUGGGGAAAAAACACGUUGCCACGUUUUAUGCCCAGCAGGGUAGUCUCCAUGAGCAGAAGAUGAAAGAAGCCAAUCACCUUGCUGCCGUGGAGAUCUUUGAGAAAGUCAAUGCCUCCUUGCUGCCACAGAAUGUUUUAGACCUCCAUGGGCUGCAUGUGGAUGAAGCUAUAGAACAUUUGAUGACAGUUUUACAGCAGAAAACUGAAGAAUUUAAGCAGAAUGGUGGUAAGUCCUAUCUCUCUGUGAUUACGGGGAGAGGAAACCACAGCCAAGGAGGAGUUGCUCGCAUCAAACCAGCCGUCAUUAAAUACCUCACAAGCCAUAGCUUCAGUGACCUGAAAUGGCCUGCUUCUUCAGAUGGAGCCCCUAGUAGCAAAGAAAUGACCUCAGGACCUCCCAGAAGAAACUUGAUGCUUCUAGUGCCCCACCUGUCUCUUUUGUUGUGCCCAUAACUAUUUUUCCUGAUAAGCAAGGCCAACUGGUGUCAAGUCUCAGCUGGAUGACAUGAUGUUCUUUUUUUUUUUUUUUUAAUCUACGGACCAAAUUGCACUUUAUAAAUAAGUACAAACAUUCACACAGAUGUUUCGAGCUUGUUCUGUCCAUGAAUGUUGCAUCAGUAGUAAAGUGAAUGGAAUUCACAAUUUUGCUUAGUUGACUCAACAUUUAUCAUUUGAGCAGUGGAUAUUUCUAAGACAAGAAGUUAAUUGGUAAGGAAGAUGGAAUGUUAGUCUGAAUCUGGCUUCCCAAAGCUCUGGCCAAAUUAUUCCAGAUUUGCUAACAGAUCAAAUGUAACAUUUUUUUGUUGAAAUAAACACCAGUUUAAGGAAUAUGCUACUUUCUGGUGAGGUUAAGGAGGUCCCCAGCUGAUUUUUUUCAACCAUUUUUAAUGUGUGAAUGGAAUCUUUUUUUUUUUUUUAAAUUUUUAUUUUAGAGAGAGAGCAUAAGCAGGGGAGAGGGGGAGAGAGAGAAUCCUAAGCAGGCUCCGUGCUCAGUGUGGAGCUGGAAGUGGGGCUUGAUCCCAUGGUCUUGGGAUCAUGACCCAAGCCGAAGUCAAGAGUUGGAGGCUCACCGACUGAACCACCUACGUGCCCUAAUGUGUGCAUAGAAUCUUAAAACAAAAAGGAAAACGGAAAACAUGAAAUUACAUUCAUCUAAAGCCAAAUCUACACACAAACUGGGCAUUUGUGCAAACAAAAUUUUAAACUGCUCUAUGUAAUUAAAAUACCACUGGUCAUUUUAUUUUCAACCCAUAACAUGCCCUGAAUUCCUUGUGUUUGUUAUUUGUUCCUGUACAAUCCAUUUUAUUCAUUUAAGAGAGCCACCUGAUCAAAUUAUGAACUGAUAAGCCCUAUCAAUUCUAGUUUUGUGUAAUUUUCAGAAGACAGUAAUGUGCCUCUUCUAUAAAUCAGUAUAUAUCUGUUAACAGCUUCCAGAACUGUAUUCAGUAGUGCAUAUGGAGCCAUUUUUACACUUGUCCUUCACAUUGUCAGUACCAUUAUUCAAUAGUGGCUGAAAUUCCUCUGGCCUACUUGUAUAGUGGUAAUAGCUAAUAAAAAUAGCAUCUAAAAAUGACUAUGUCUAGCAUUCAUGCCUAUACACUAAGAGGAAAUGAGAGGCAUCUUAGAAAAAAAAGACAAAGGAAACAACCAUUCUUUAAGAGCACAAGGCACAGGGAGAGGGUGAAGGAAAAUAUUUCAGGUAUUUUUUGGGGGGGAUGAGAAUAAUGAUGACUUUUGAAAAUCAGUCUUCUUGGGGCGCCUGGGUGGCUCAGUCAGUUGAGUGUCCGACUUCAGCUCAGGUCAUGAUCUCGUGGUCUGUAAGUUUGAGCCCCGCGUCGGGCUCAGAGCCUGGAGCCUGCUUCGGAUGCUGUGUCUCCCUGUCUCUCUGCCCUUCCCCCGUUCACGCUCUGUCUCUCUCUCUGUCAAAAAUAAAUAAACAUUAAAAAAAAAUUAAAAAAAAAAAAGAAAAUCUGUCUUCUUCAGUAAGCCAUGUGAAAUUCAGGCAAAUAGGCUGGGAGAUUGGCAUAUCCGCCUGGAAUGGGAGACCUUCCUAAUAACCAACAUUUAAAUGACAUAGCUGUAUACUGUAGAUAAGGGUACUAAAGAUAUUGGCAAAAUUCAACUGGCUACCAUUGCAAAAAUGGUUUAUAGAAUCAGGCCAUGCCAUUUAUUGCCUGAGCAAUCUUGAACCAGAUACUUAAGCUUUCUGUGCCUUGGUUUCCUCCUCUGCAAAUGGGGAUAACGAUGGUACCUACCUCAUACUUGUUGGGAUGAUUAAGUAAAAAAAAAAAAUGUGUAUAAAGUGCUUAACUGGCACAUGUUAAAUGCUCAAUAAAUGGUGGGUCAGUGUGACCAUCAUUAUUGUUAUUAUGAGUUGGUUAAAAAGGUCAUGGGAGCAGAGAAUAGAAAGCUGAAGUACAAGGCAGCUUUGUGACACUGUCUUAAAAAGCUCCUACCACCUUGGAUUUUUCUACUAGGUGUUUGGCUUUGGUCAUAUUUCUCUCUAGAUGUCAGCAGUCCAUCACAAAAUGACUUACAAGGAUUCAGAGGAGAGACUCAGGGCAGAAAGGAGGAGAAGUAAGCAAAGUGGAGGGUUGGAGCUGAGAGGAGAGUACCCACAAGUCCCCCCUUCCAGUCUGGGAGGGCUGUCUCCCAGAGCUGGGCAGUCAGAUCUCCCUUGCCAAAGUGGGCACAUGAGGAAGCAAGUCUUCCAAUGGUGAGCAGAAGGCAAAGUCUCAUUAAACCUGAGGACGUAUGCUGAUGUUAAGGACCAUUAAACAUUAAAAUCACUAUUGGAUGUUUUAAAAAACAGACUUUACCUCCCUCUUCUUCUGGCUGAGGUCUUUCUUAACCUUCCUAUUUGAAUAUGCAUCUUGCCCAAGCUUUCUAUCCCUCUUUCCUGCUUUUUCUUCUUAGUAAUUAGCACACUGUAACAUACUAUAUUACUAAUUAUGUUCAUUGCUUGUCUCUCCAGUAGAUGCAAACUCAUAAGACCAGGCUAUUUUUGUGGUUGUUAUUGUUCCCUGCUGUCUUCUGAGGGCCUAGCACAGUGCUUAAUGAAUAUUAUAGCUAGUGUUCAAUAAAUAUUUGUUGAAUGAGACAAGAAAGGAAAAAUUUCACUUAUCUUAGGUGAGUGAACAGUGUAGUGGAUGAACAGAUGACCUCAGAAGGCAUGUCUGAAGAUUCUGUGAUUGUUUUGAUUACACAUAAAAAAUAAAGCACCAUUAACAACUUGAUUUUAAAAUUUCUACAUCCUCGGGGCACCUGAUUGGCUCAGCUGGUAGAGCAUGUGACUCGAUCUUGGGAGCCCCACGUUGGGAGCAGAGAUUACUUUAAAAAAAUUCUAGAUCCUUUUAAACUGUUGAGACAAUAAACACAUGAUAUUAGAAUCCUAUCCAUGAUGUGUAAGCUUGUAUGACUUUAUUCAACCAGAAUUUGGGCACUGGCAAAGCUUCUCAAAUUAUGAAAAUUAACACUUGUUAUUCAAAGAGGGGAUAGAGAUGGAGGAAAAAAUUCCAGAAGGCAAAAGUCCAAAACAAGAGUGGCUAAUAAUAGCCACCAUGUUGAGGCGCCUGGGUGGCUCAGUCAGUUAAGCAUCCCACUUCAGCUCAGGUCAUGAUCUCGCACUCCGUGAGUUCAAGCCCCGCGACGGGCUCUGGGCUGAUGGCUCAGAGCCUGGAACCUGCUUCCGAUUCUGUGUCUCCCGCUCUCUCUGACCCUCCCCCGUUCAUGCUCUGUCUCUCUCUGUCUCAAAAAUAAAUAAACGUUAAAAAAAUUAAAAAAAAAAUAAUAGCUACCAUGUUAAUUUGUGUCUCCUACAUUUCAAGGACUUUACAGCUUUUUUAUAAAAAUCCUUCCAAGAUAGUUCUUAUUAUACCUAUUUUCCAGAUGGGACAACUAGGGCCGUAUCCUUGCAAUUAAAUGGAGAUGGAAUUUGAAUCUUGCUUUGUCUUAAUUCAAAUUUAUACUUUCUCCAAAAUGUCAGAUUACCUUUGGGUACAGACUUCAACCUGUUCCCUCCAGAACUGUGCAGGAGAUCUGUUAUUUUGAAGAGAUGGCAAGUUAGCACUCACUGGUCUCUGCUUUAUAACUGAAACGUUUGCAACCCCCGCUCCGAGCAGGUGUGCUGAGUUGCAGUUACCCUGUGAUGUUUGUGCCCAAACUGAAGAUCCCUAUCAAGGCAACGAGUAAAAUAUGAAUGUGAGAAGAAGCAGUGAUGGCCUUCUUCCUCUUUUUUAAACAAACUAGAAUUUCUGCAUCAGAAUGAAUGUUGCGCCCUUUGCAGGGGUCCCAUGGGAGUUUAUGCACUUGACCCAAAGACACUGCUCUUACAUCAUGUCUCAAGCUCCUCUUCUGGAUUUGCUCUGAACCCGAGGCACAUUCUUUUAAGUUUCUUCAAUGAUAGCAAAUCUUUGUCCUUUUCAGGUGGAUUUGAUUUUGGGAGACAGCCCUUUGGAGCUUCAGCCAGUGGAUAAGGUCCAUUAGUUUCUCCUAAAGGGAGGAAUUCCACUGAAAUCAAGCCCAUCAGCCUUCCACACUGACUAUGGGACCCACAACGGCUCUUUUGUGGGUACAUGUGACACGCCGACUGGAGAUGAUCUCUCAUGUCUAUAUAGGGUAUUGCUCUAACAUGGACUGGAGCCCCUCCCCUCCCCUCUCCCAGCUCCAUAUUUAGCCAUCUGCUGAAGGCUACGUGUGUCAUCAAAGUUUAUCAUCUGCCUUUACCGCUAUGGAGUAAUACAGAGGUUUACAUUCUUGUUUUCACCGAGGCAGUUCCCGAAGUAGCUGGGGUCCGUUAGAAACUGAAGCUGCUGUCUGCUGCCUUCUCCACUUCUUGGAGCAGAAGCCAAGAGAGAGCUGUUUGAAGACGCCACAUUCACACA